CUCCCCAUGAACCAAACCCUAGUUCUAACAUAAUCAUCAAAUUGAGGAGUCAAACGAAGCUCAAAUUCAUAACCGAGCAUAGAUUAAUGAUCACCUUCACAAGGGGAUCGCAAGGAAUCACGUCGAGACGAGCUCAAGCACGAGGUGUUAACGGGCCAAGAGGAGGCAAGAGAUCGGGUACGAGCACGGACGCAUAAGGUUGUACGGUUCAGGGGAGAUUAUUACAAGGGGUAGAGAUCGAAGACCGAGUCAC